rnacentral:rRNA from 1 species
CCUACGGGUGGCAGCAGUGAGGAAUAUUGGUCAAUGGCCGAGAGGCUGAACCAGCCAAGUCGCGUGAGGGAAGACGGCCCUACGGGUUGUAAACCUCUUUUGUCGGGGAGCAAAGCGAGUCACGUGUGACUCAUUGCGAGUACCCGAAGAAAAAGCAUCGGCUAACUCCGUGCCAGCAGCCGCGGUAAUCCGGAGGGUGCGGGCGUUAUCCGGAUUUAUUGGGUGUAAAGGGUGCGCAGGCGGAGGUGCAAGUCAGCGGUAAAAUUGCGGGGCUCAACCCCGCACUGCCGGGGAAACUGGAGCCCUUGAGUGCGCGAGAAGUAGGCGGAAUGCGUGGUGUAGCGGUGAAAUGCAUAGAUAUCACGAAGAACUCCGAUUGCGAAGGCAGCAUGCCGGAGCGCAACUGACGCUCAUGCACGAAAGCGUGGGUAUCGAACAGGAUUAGAUACCCCUGUAGUC